rnacentral:rRNA from 1 species
CGCGUAGGUGGUAGUGUAAGUCUGAGGUGGAAUCCCAGGGCUUAACCCUGGAACUGCCUUGGAAACUGCAUUACUUGAGUCAGUGAGGGGAGGGUAGAAUUCCUGGUGUAGCGGUGAAAUGCGUAGAUAUCAGGAGGAAGGCCUGUGGCGAAGGCGGCCCUCUGGUGCUGGACUGACACUGAGGCGCGAAAGCGUGGGGAGCAAACAGGAUUAGAUACCCUGGUAGUCCACGCCCUAAACGGUGGGCACUAGGUGUAGGGCUCGUAAGGGUUCUGUGGCCGAAGGGAAACCAUUAAGUGCCCCGCCUGGGGAGUACGGCCGCAAGGUUGAA